CAGACUCAGAUACCUGUAAUGAAAAUCAUCAUGCAGUAAAUGCUAAUUCUGGUGCAAAUCAAUACUGGGAAGAUGCUUCAUGCCCUUGAACAUCAGACUCCAAGUUCUUCAGUUUUGGAACUCAGACUGGUUCUUGCUCCUCAGCGUGUAGACAACCUAUUGUGGGACCUUGUGAUCAUGCCUCAUAGGAUGUGCUUCCCUGUGAAGAGGAUGUUCUGAUAAAGAGGAGCCAGACCCAAGUCUGACAACCCUGGAUGGUACACCAUUUGGUCUUCUAGAGAAUGAAUACCCUCUAAUUGAGCCUCAAAUCUUGCCAAGGUAUGUAUACUUCCCUUUGCCAUUUAUAAUCAAACUCUAUGAAUAGAUAUUGAUGACCAUGUCACCUUAAAAGGAUCAGGACCACAGAAGUAUAGUAAGCCCCACUCAGUACAUUGGAAGGUGGUGGAAGAAUCAGGUUACAGCUGUUUAUAAGAAUAUGUUUGAUUUACUUAGGAAGAAAGGAU
rnacentral:lncRNA from 13 species